GAAGACCGCCCUAUGGGUUGUAAACUGCUUUUAUACGGGAAGAAUAAGGUCUACGUGUAGACUGAUGACGGUACCGUAAGAAUAAGGACCGGCUAACUCCGUGCCAGCAGCCGCGGUAAUACGGAGGGUCCGAGCGUUAUCCGGAAUUAUUGGGUUUAAAGGGUCCGUAGGCGGGCUGUUAAGUCAGGGGUGAAAGUUUGCAGCUCAACUGUAAAAUUGCCUUUGAUACUGGCGGUCUUGAGUUAUAUUGAAGUGGCUAGAAUAUGUAGUGUAGCGGUGAAAUGCAUAGAUAUUACAUAGAAUACCGAUUGCGAAGGCAGGUCACUAAGUAUUAACUGACGCUGAUGGACGAAAGCGUGGGUAGCGAACAGGAUUAGAUACCCUGGUAGUCCACGCCGUAAACGAUGGAUACUAGCUGUGUGGUUUUCGGACUGCGCGGCCAAGCGAAAGUGAUAAGUAUCCCACCUGGGGAGUACGUUCGCAAGAAUGAAACUCAAAGGAAUUGACGGGGGCCCGCACAAGCGGUGGAGCAUGUGGUUUAAUUCGAUGAUACGCGAGGAACCUUACCAGGGCUUAAAUGUAGAUUGACAGGUUUAGAGAUAGACUUUCCUUCGGGCAAUUUACAAGGUGCUGCAUGGUUGUCGUCAGCUCGUGCCGUGAGGUGUCAGGUUAAGUCCUAUAACGAGCGCAACCCCUGUCGUUAGUUGCCAGCAUGUCAUGAUGGGGACUCUAACGAGACUGCCGGUGCAAACCGUGAGGAAGGUGGGGAUGACGUCAAAUCAUCACGGCCCUUACGUCCUGGGCCACACACGUGCUACAAUGGCCGGUACAGAGAGCAGCCACUUGGUAACAAGGAGCGAAUCUAUAAAACCGGUCACAGUUCGGAUCGGGGUCUGCAACUCGACCCCGUGAAGCUGGAAUCGCUAGUAAUCGGAUAUCAGCCAUGAUCCGGUGAAUACGUUCCCGGGCCUUGUACACACCGCCCGUCAAGCCAUGGAAGCCGGGAGUGCCUGAAGUCCGUCACCGCAAGGAGCGGCCUAGGGCAAGAUCGGUAACUAGGGCUAAGUCGUA
rnacentral:rRNA from 1 species